GUGAAUUUCAUAAAAGGUAUCAAAAGCCCUCUCCCUUUUUCCAAAGUCCGAUAUUUGUUUCCUUUCUGUUAAAUUCAAUUAUUUUCGUGUGUCUGGCCUCAGACCACAAUUACUCUUCUCCUUUGCUACAAUGCUUCUUUUGGUAAAAGUCAAAUCAAAUUAACAAUUUGCACCGUUUCAAACAUGAAAUAAAUGUAACUGCUUAUAUAUAGACCAUUAUUAGUCUAAUAAAAUAUGCUUCUAGGACAAUCCAUCAGUGUUUUUCUUUUUCUCUUGAGAGCCUUAUUAACAUGCCAAUGGUAGGAUAUGAAUCAUGUAUAAAUGACUAAGGCUAAUUUGAGGGGUGGUCGGACGGGUCCUGAUCCCGAAAUCCCGGGCUUAAAACCAUGAAAUCCCGAGAUGCAGAAUUUAAAGAAAUGCAUAUCCCGAAAUCCCGAAAUCGAAAAAAAUAUAUUCCCGGAUCCCGUAAGGAUCAAUCCCCAAAUCCCGAGCUUAUAAAACACCGAUCCCGACGCCCCGAAAAAGGUCCUGCCUACUUCUAAUCUCUACCUUACUUUCAUUUUUGCCAAAUCACUAUUUUCCCUUUCAACAAUAAAUUGUUA
rnacentral:lncRNA from 1 species